GUGGGGAAUAUUGGACAAUGGGCGCAAGCCUGAUCCAGCCAUGCCGCGUGAGUGAUGAAGGCCCUAGGGUUGUAAAGCUCUUUCACCGGAGAAGAUAAUGACGGUAUCCGGAGAAGAAGCCCCGGCUAACUUCGUGCCAGCAGCCGCGGUAAUACGAAGGGGGCUAGCGUUGUUCGGAAUUACUGGGCGUAAAGCGCACGUAGGCGGACAUUUAAGUCAGGGGUGAAAUCCCGGGGCUCAACCCCGGAAAUGCCGUUGAGACUGGGUGUCUGGAGUAUGGAAGAGGUAAGUGGAAUUCCGAGUGUAGAGGUGAAAAUCGUAGAUAUUCGGAGGAACACCAGUGGCGAAGGCGGCUUACUGGUCCAUUACUGACGCUGAGGUGCGAAAGCGUGGGGAGCAAACAGGAUUAGAAACCCGAGUAGUCC
rnacentral:rRNA from 1 species